AYGGYGGAGACCUAGGCACCCAGAGACGAAGAAGGGCGCAGAUACCGGCGAAACGCUCCGGGGAGUUGGCAACAAACUUUGAUCCGGAGAUCCCCGAAUAGGGCAACCUGUACAACUUCCAACAGAAUUCAUAAGUUGGAAAGAGGCAACCCAGUGAAUUGAAACAUCUUAGUAGCUGGAGGAAAAGAAAGCAAACGCGAUUCCCGUAGUAGCGGCGAGCGAACCGGGAACAGCCUAAACCCAUUUCCAUUAGGGAAUGGGGGUAGUGGGAAGACAUUAAUACGAAAUAGAAAAUAAUUUCAAACUACGAUAUUUUCUAAAAACGAAACAGCUGAAUCCUGUACCAUAGAUGGUGAAAGUCCAGUAGUUGAAAUGAAAAAAAAAGAAAAUGUCUUAUUGUCUUAUCCCGAGUAGCAUGGGACACGUGGAAUCCCGUGUGAAUCAGCGAGGACCACCUCGUAAGGCUAAAUACUCCUGGGUGACCGAUAGUGAAAUAGUACUGCGAAGGAAAGGUGAAAAGAACCCUCGUAUAGGGAGUGAAAUAGAACAUGAAACCGUAGACUGACAAGCAGUGGGAGGUUAAGAGCUGACCGCGUGCCUGUUGAAGUAUGAGCCGGCGACUUAGAGGGAGUGGCAAAAAGGUUAAGGAGAAACAUCCGGAGCCAACGCGAAAGCGAGUCCGAAAAUUCGGCGAGUAUUUGUCAUUUCCUCUGGACCCGAACCCGGGUGAUCUAAUCAUGACCAACAUGAAGCUUGGGUAACACUAAGUGGAGGUGUGCACCGACCGAUGUUGAAAAAUCGGCGGAUGAGUUGUGAUUAUGCGCAGAAAUUGCAAUCGAACUCGGAGCUAGCUGGAUCUCCCCGAAAUGCGUUGAGGCGCAGCGGCAACGACGAGCUAUCAUAAGGUAAAGCUACUGUUUCGAUGCGGGCUGCGAGAGCGGUACCAAAUCGUGGCAAACUCAGAAUGUAUGAUAUUGCCUACCGUUAGCCAGUGAGACCCAAGGUGAUAAGAUCUUCGGUCAAGAGGGAAACAGCCCAGAUCACCAGCUAAGGCCCCUAAAUGGUUUCUAAGUGGAAAAGGAUGUGAGAGUGCAGAAACAACCAGGAGGUUUGCUUAGAAGCAGCAAUUUCCUUGAAAGAGUGCGUAAUAGCUCACUGGUAAAGCGUUCUUGCGCCGAUAAUGGCCGGGACUAAGAAACCUGCCGAAGCUGUGAGAUUCUUAUAUAAGAAUCGGUAGGGGAGCGUUCCGUUAUUGGGUGAAGUUAUGGUGUAAACCAGAAUGGACAAGACGGAAGUGAGAAUGUUGGCUUGAGUAACGAAAACAUUGGUGAGAAUCCAAUGCCCCGAAAACCGUUGGGUUCCUCCACUAGGUUCGUCCAUGGGGGGUUAGUCAGGUCCUAAGGCUAGGCCGAAAGGCGUCGUCGAUGGCAAACAGGUUAAUAUUCCUGUACUGAUUCUAUUGGGAACAAGGGACGAAGAAGGCUAAACUGAGACUACUAAUGGAUUAUAGUGGAAGCGUCAAGGUGUUGAGAGUUAGAAGAAAAACUAAACUUGAGCUGAGGCGUUAUCCCGAUGACAAUCCUUCGGGGUUGUUGUCGUCAGUGAUGUCAUGCUUCCAAGAAAAGCUUGAGCUCCAUAACAAUAGAAUUACCUGUACCUAAAACCGACACAGGUAGGUGAGUAGAGAAUACUAAGGGGCGCGAGAGAACUCUCUCUAAGGAACUCGGCAAACUGGCCCCGUAACUUCGGAAGAAGGGGCGCCUUUAAUUUCAUUAAAGGUCGCAGUGACCAGGCCCAGGCAACUGUUUAUCAAAAACAUAGGUCUCCGCAAAGUCGAAAGACUAUAUAUGGGGGCUGACGCCUGCCCAGUGCCGGAAGGUUAAGGAAGUUGGUUAGAGAGCUCGUCUCUCGAAGCUGACGACCGAAGCCCCGGUGAACGGCGGCCGUAACUAUAACGGUCCUAAGGUAGCGAAAUUCAUUGUCGAGUAAGUUUCGACCUGCACGAAAGGUGUAAUGAUCUGGGCGCUGUCUCGGAGAGAGACUCGGUGAAAUAGACAUGUCCGUGAAGAUGCGGACUACCAAUACUAGGACAGAAAGACCCUAUGAAGCUUGACUGUAUCCUGGAAUUGAACUCGGGCUUUUCUUGCGCAGCCUAGGUGGGAGGCGUUGAAGGUCCCCUUCCGGGGGGGCUGGAGCCAUCAUUGAGAGACCACUCUGGAAGAGCUAGAGUUCUAAUGGUGAUCUUUGAAACAAGACACUUGACAGUUUCAGGUGGGCAGUUUUCCUGGGGCGGGAACCUCCCAAAGCGUAACGGAGGUGUGCAAAGGUUCUCUCAGUCUGGACGGAAAUCAGACAUUGAGUGUAAAGGCAAAAGAGAGCUUGACUGUAAGACCAACAAGUCGAGCAGGGGCGAAAGCCGGCCUUAGUGAUCCGACGGUGCCGUGUGGAAGGGCCGUCGCUCAACGGACAAAAGUUACUCUAGGGAUAACAGGCUGAUCUUCCCCAAGAGUUCAUAUCGACGGGAAGGUUUGGCACCUCGAUGUCGGCUCAUCACAUCCUGGAGCGGUAGUACGUUCCAAGGGUUGGGCUGUUCGCCCAUUAAAGUGGUACGUGAGCUGGGUUCAGAACGUCGUGAGACAGUUCGGUCCAUAUCCG
rnacentral:rRNA from 1 species